rnacentral:lncRNA from 1 species
UCCUGUUACCGAUAUCAGUAUUGCACCUGCAAAUGCUUAAUUGGGAAGAUUAAGACGUUAUAACCUUAAGAUGAGUUCAAACAAUGAAAUAUUUCAUUCGUUUUCCACCUACAUGUUAAGAUAAAAAAUUUAACGACGUUUUUGUCUAUAAUUGUCUAUCCUGUUACUGUAACCAUAGCAACCAUAGUAACAGGAUAGACAUAACAGGAUAGACAAAUUUCUUCGUUUUUGAUUGCUGUUGUGAAAUAAC